rnacentral:rRNA from 1 species
AUUGAACGCUGGCGGCAGGCCUAACACAUGCAAGUCGAGCGGAUGAGUGGAGCUUGCUCCAUGAUUCAGCGGCGGACGGGUGCGUAAUGCCUAGGAAUCUGCCUGGUAGUGGGGGACAACGUUUCGAAAGGAACGCUAAUACCGCAUACGUCCUACGGGAGAAAGCAGGGGACCUGCGGGCCUUGCGCUAUCAGAUGAGCCUAGGUCGGAUUAGCUAGUAGGUGAGGUAAUGGCUCACCUAGGCGACGAUCCGUAACUGGUCUGAGAGGAUGAUCAGUCACACUGGAACUGAGACACGGUCCAGACUCCUACGGGAGGCAGCAGUGGGGAAUAUUGGACAAUGGGCGAAAGCCUGAUCCAGCCAUGCCGCGUGUGUGAAGAAGGUCUUCGGAUUGUAAAGCACUUUAAGUUGGGAGGAAGGGCAGUAAGUUAAUACCUUGCUGUUUUGACGUUACCAACAGAAUAAGCACCGGCUAACUUCGUGCCAGCCGCCGCAGUAACAC